rnacentral:lncRNA from 1 species
AACGAUGAUCCUCUGCACUCGGACCCCCCAAUCCAUAAGGCUUGUCAAUCUAUUGACUUAGCCCGGAAACCAUCAGGUGCUUCCACAUCACCUCGCCUGGUUCCUGCUGGGAAAACACCAGCCUUGCCUGCCUCCAUUCCCACCACCAUCACUUCUGGCUCAAAUUCUGCAUAUCCUUUGAAGCCCAGUCCAGAGACAGGAACAGUCCAUUUCCUAGAAACCAACUCAGAAACCACAGAAUUCUCUAGCUUUCUUGGUGGCAAGACUCAGAGGGAUAGGUGCCAGGUCAGGAAGGGCCACAGGUGUCAGGUGAAAUAAAGAAGUUUUACCCAGGGAUAGAUGUGCCCAUCCAUGGCCACAGUUCUAGAUGACACCAAUGCUCACUCAAGCUUGGGUCCUAUGGCCUUGAACAUCAUGCCAUAGAGGGGUCCUAGGAGGGCCUCUUCUACCUACAUAUUCACAAAGACCUGAGACCUGCUGGGGCUGAGAGUCUACAUGGGUUUCCAUUCAGAGUUCUGCUUAAGUAGCUUAGACUGAAUCUCCAUCUCUGCUUACCACACUAUUUCCAUUUCCCUAGCCCAAAUGAUGGCUCAAAUACCCCAGAAAAGCCUGUAAACAGCAGAGAAACUACUCUUGGCUUGUGUAUAUCCAGUCUAUUCUGGAACUCCUGACCAGUUAGCCUAGCUUCAUAACCCAUAACCAACAGCUAGUAAGAAAUCUGUUAAUGCCUUCACCUCGUUGAUGGCUGACAUCUGAGCUUUCAUCUCAAGUCUCCCUUUGGUUCACUUCUGCGAUGGCUCUGCCCAUUCUGUUCAGUUCUCCAGUUUUGUCUCUCAUCUGUGGCCUGACCUCUAUCCUUCAGCCCCCAAUCUUGAUUUGAAUCUCUGGUUCUAACCUCUGGCUUUGGCUUUGACAUCUAAGACUCACUAGAAUAAUCCUCCCUGCCCUCCCUGUACUGGACACUAUCUUCUCAUUGGGGAUAGCCCUAGGCUCUGGGUUCACCUCAGCCCUGGGAGGAGACUCGCCCCAUGUCAGCGUGUGACUCCCUAUUGCCCCUGGGGUCAACAUAAAACCCGUUAGUUUGGCCUUCAAGGCUCUUCAUACCCUGGCCUUCCUUGCCCC